GCUGAUGUGGCGAAAUGGUAGACGCAUUUGACUCAAAAUCAAACGAGCAAUAAACUCAUAUCGGUUCGAAUCCGAUCAUCAGUA
rfam:Candidatus Phytoplasma oryzae Pmin.contig.3_1, whole genome shotgun sequence.